GAGGUUGCUUGGUCAAAGCAACAAAUAAAACAAGGAAAGAAGGAAGGAAGGAAGGAAGGAAGGAAGGAAGGAAGGAAGGAAGGAAGGAAGGAAGGAAGGAAGGAAGGAAGGAAGGAAGGAAGGAAGGAAGGAAGGAAGGAAGGAAGGAAGGAAGGAAGGAAGGAAGGAAGGAAGGAAAGGAGGAAGGAAGGAAGGAAGGAAGGAAGCAAGGCAGGAAGGAAGCUAGGCAGGAAGCUAGGCAGGAAGGAAGCUAGGCAGGAAGGAAGCUAGGCAGGAAGGAAGCAAAGAAAAAAUGAAGGAAGGAAGGAAAAAGAGGAGGAAUAUGAGAACUGAGGAGCCUACUUCCAUCCCAGAGCAAUGAAUCCUGGAGAAUCCUCAAAUUUUGCCAGGUCAAAACACAGAGACUGGUAUAGACCACCAGCUGAAAGUUGCCCAUCUAGCCACUGUGUACAAAUAUAAAUAUGAGAUAUUCCCUGCCUUCAAAACUCUUAUAUUCUACUGGGAAGUGGGGAAAGGGAAGAGAAGAAUACAUGUUUAUAGACAAUAAAUACAGGAGACAUAUAUGUAUACA
rnacentral:lncRNA from 1 species